rnacentral:rRNA from 3 species
GGACUACUGGGGUAUCUAAUCCCGUUUGCUCCCCUGGCUUUCGCGCAUCAGCGUCAGAAAGGACCCAGCACCUCGCCUUCGCCACCGGAGUUCCGGUCGAUAUCAACGCAUUUCACCGCUCCACCGACCGUUCCAGAUGCCCCUAUCCUCCUCGAGGCCAGCAGUAUCCACGGCACUUCCCCGGUUAAGCCGGGGGCUUUCACCACAGACUGGCUGGCCCGCCUACGCGCCCUUUAAGCCCAGUGAUUCCGAACAACGUUUGCACGGUUCGUCUUACCGCGGCGGCUGGCAC